rnacentral:rRNA from 1 species
UACGAAGGGGGCUAGCGUUGCUCGGAAUCACUGGGCGUAAAGGGUGCGUAGGCGGGUCUUUAAGUCAGGGGUGAAAUCCUGGAGCUCAACUCCAGAACUGCCUUUGAUACUGAGGAUCUUGAGUUCGGGAGAGGUGAGUGGAACUGCGAGUGUAGAGGUGAAAUUCGUAGAUAUUCGCAAGAACACCAGUGGCGAAGGCGGCUCACUGGCUCGAUACUGACGCUGAGGUGCGAAAGCGUGGGGAGCAAACAGG